rnacentral:rRNA from 1 species
UGCCAGCAGCCGCGGUAAUACGAGGGGUGCAAGUGUUGUUCGGAAUCACUGGGCGUAAAGGGAGCGUAGGCGGAAGUGAAAGUCAGAUGUUUAAUCUCGGGGCUCAACCUCGAACUUGCGUUUGAAACUUCAUUUCUUGAAUAUUGUAGAGGUAGAUGGAAUUUCCGGUGUAGCGGUGGAAUGCGUAGAUACCGGGAGGAACACCAGUUGCGAAGGCGAUCUACUGGACAAAUAUUGACGCUGAGGCUCGAAAGCGUGGGUAGCGAACAGGAUUAGAUA